rnacentral:misc_RNA from 1 species
ACAAACUUGGUCAUUUAGAGGAAGUAAAAGUCGUAACAAGGUUUCCGUAGGUGAACCUGCGGAAGGAUCAUUACCCAUGGCUUUUUUGCCAUAAUGCAUAGCGGCCGUUGCACGAAAGCAAGACACUCCGCCUCACCUUCGUGCUAGUGCACGAAAGAAGGUAGUGGAUACGAGGAUCCCCAGUGCUGUAAUAGCUAUUCGUAGCUACCCCCCGUCUCGUAGUAGCCCCACCAGGUUCUGUCUGUUAGUAGGCUCCCGAAGCCCAUGCAUUAUACCCUUGUCUUUUGCGUACUACUUGUUUCCUCGGCAGGCUUGCCUGCCGAUUGGACAUUUUAAACUCUUUUUUUGUAAUUGCAAUCAGCGUCUGAAUAAACUAUAAUAGUUACAACUUUCAACAACGGAUCUCUUGGUUCUGGCAUCGAUGAAGAACGCAGC